rnacentral:tRNA from 1 species
GCCGGGGUGGCGGAAUUGGUAGACGCAAGGGACUUAAAAUCCCUCGGGUUUGAACAACUCGUGCCGGUUCGAGUCCGGCCCUCGGCA